ensembl:lncRNA
CCGGAAAGACCGGAAGCGCUGUUAUAUUACGGCUAGCUUGACAGCAAAAUCAAACUCGACGGAUCGUGAGAUUCCCACCUCGCACAAUCCUUAAUUCCGGAAAGUUUGAGUGCAUAAGAAGUAGCUCUCUAGUCUCUCUGCUCUGACGACAUGAGGUCCACGUGGCUUCCUCCCUCUCUGUUGCUGCUGCUAACCAAUGCUAGAGGUGAGCUGUGUGUCACUUCAAGAAAGCAGCAAGACCAAUUUUGUCCUGAUGAUGGUGGAUGACCUGGGAAUUGGAGACCUGGGCUGCUACGGCAAUACAACACUGAGGAAAAUGGCACAUAGGACUUAACUGUAAGAGCAGUGAUGAUUACUGCCACCACCCGAGCGUCCACGGCUUUAACAAUUUCUUCGGUAUCCCCUUGACCAACCUGCGUGACUGCCAGCCCGGACACAGCAAUGUGUUCCAGAUCCAUAGAUAUAGAUAUAGAUAUAUAGAUAUAGAUAUAUACAGGACUGUCU